rnacentral:rRNA from 1 species
UGCCAGCAGCCGCGGUAAUACGUAGGGAGCGGGCGUUAUUCGGAAUCACUGGGCUUAAAGGGUGCGUAGGCGGCGCUGUAAGUUGGAUGUGAAAUCCCACAGCUCAACUGUGGAACUGCGUUCAAUACUGCAGUGCUUGAGGGAGAUAGAGGAGAGCGGAACUACGGGUGGAGCGGUGAAAUGCGUUGAUAUCCGUAGGAACACCGGUGGCGAAAGCGGCUCUCUGGGUCUCUUCUGACGCUGAGGCACGAAAGCUAGGGUAGCGAACGGGAUUAGAUA